rnacentral:tRNA from 1 species
AGAGUCUUUACACAUAGCUUAAAAAGAGCAAUUCACUUACAUUGAAAAGGUUAAC